AUUGAACGCUGGCGGCAGGCCUAACACAUGCAAGUCGAACGAGUGGCGGACGGGUGAGUAAUGUAUGGGAAACUGCCCGAUGGCGGGGGAUAACUACUGGAAACAGUAGCUAAUACCGCAUACUAUUGGAGGGUCCCAGAUGGGAUUAGCUAGUUGGUGGGGUAAAGGCUCACCUAGGCGACGAUCCCUAGCUGGUCUGAGGGGAUGACCAGCAACACGGGAACUGAGACACGGGCCGGACUCCUAGGGGAGGCAGCAGGGGGGAAUAUUGCACAAUGGGCGCAAGCCUGAUGCAGCCAUGCCGCGUGUAUGAAGAAGGCCUUCGGGUUGUAAAGUACUUUCGGCGAGGAGGCGUUACUCGCAGAAGAAGCACCGGCUAACUCCGUGCCAGCAGCCGCGGUAAUAC
rnacentral:rRNA from 1 species